rnacentral:rRNA from 1 species
GACGAACGCUGGCGGCGUGCCUAAUACAUGCAAGUAGAACGCUGAAGGAGGAGCUUGCUCUUCUGGAUGAGUUGCGAACGGGUGAGUAACGCGUAGGUAACCUGCCUGGUAGUGGGGGAUAACUAUUGGAAACGAUAGCUAAUACCGCAUAAUAACAGUUGUUGCAUGACAACUGUUUGAAAGGUGCAAUUGCAUCACUACCAGAUGGACCUGCGUUGUAUUAGCUAGUUGGUGGGGUAACGGCUCACCAAGGCGACGAUACAUAGCCGACCUGAGAGGGUGAUCGGCCACACUGGGACUGAGACACGGCCCAGACUCCUACGGGAGGCAGCAGUAGGGAAUCUUCGGCAAUGGACGAAAGUCUGACCGAGCAACGCCGCGUGAGUGAAGAAGGUUUUCGGAUCGUAAAGCUCUGUUGUAAGAGAAGAACGAGUGUGAGAGUGGAAAGUUCACACUGUGACGGUAUCUUACCAGAAAGGGACGGCUAGCUACGUG